CAAUAGCGUAUAUUAAAGUUGUUGCAGUUAAAAGGCUCGUAGUCGAAUUUAUGGCUCUGCGAACCUGACCCAUUCUCUAGUAGAAUGAGUGUCUGAGUGCGCAAGUCAUCCUUCUGGAAGACACCUCUGUCCUUGAUUGGAACGGUUGUGAAUUUCAGAUCCUUUACUGUGAGAAAAUCAGAGUGUUCAAAGCGGGCUUUUACGCUUGCAUGGUUCAGCAUGGAAUAAUAAGAUAGGACUUGGGUUCUGUUUUGUUGGCUAUAGGACCAAAGUAAUGAUUGAAAGGGAUAGUUGGGGGUGCUAGUAUUAAACGGUCAGCGGUGAAAUGCAUGGACCCGUUAAAGACUAACUUAUGCGAAAGCAUUCACCAAGGAUAUCUUCUUUGG
rnacentral:rRNA from 1 species